rnacentral:rRNA from 1 species
GCGCAGCAGGCGCGAAACUUUACAAUGUGCGAAAGCACGAUAAGGGAACUCUGAGUGCCUCCUAAGGAGGCUGUUCAGGUGUCUAAAAGCACCUGAAGGAAGGGCUGGGUAAGACCGGUGCCAGCCGCCGCGGUAACACCGGCAGCCCAAGUGGUAGCCACGUUUAUUGGGUCUAAAGCGUCCGUAGCCGGCUGGGUAAGUUCCUUGGGAAAUUUGGCUGCUUAACAGUCAAGCUUUCAGGGAAUACUGCCCGGCUUGGGACCGGGAGAGGUCAGAGGUACUCCAGGGGUAGGGGUGAAAUCCAUUAAUCCUUGGGGGACCACCGGUAGCGAAGGCGUCUGACCAGACCGGGUCCGACGGUGAGGGACGAAGGCUA